rnacentral:rRNA from 1 species
GAUGAACGCUGGCGGCGUGCCUAAUACAUGCAAGUCGAGCGAACGGACGAGAAGCUUGCUUCUCUGAUGUUAGCGGCGGACGGGUGAGUAACACGUGGAUAACCUAUCUAUAAGACUGGGAUAACUUCGGGAAACCGGAGCUAAUACCGGAUAAUAUUUUGAACCGCAUGGUUCAGAAGUGAAAGACGGUCUUGCUGUCACUUAUAGAUGGAUCCGCGCUGCAUUAGCUAGUUGGUAAGGUAACGGCUUACCAAGGCAACGAUGCAUAGCCGACCUGAGAGGGUGAUCGGCCACACUGGAACUGAGACACGGUCCAGACUCCUACGGGAGGCAGCAGUAGGGAAUCUUCCGCAAUGGGCGAAAGCCUGACGGAGCAACGCCGCGUGAGUGAUGAAGGUCUUCGGAUCGUAAAACUCUGUUAUUAGGGAAGAACAUAUGUGUAAGUAACUGUGCACAUCUUGACGGUACCUAAUCAGAAAGCCACGGCUAACUACGUG